GUGAAAUUGUUGAAAGGGAAACGAUUGAGGCCAGUCGUGCCGGCGAGAAAUCAAGCGAAUCUUUUGUCAGUAGAUGAAUAGAUGCGGUGCACUUUUUCGUUGGCUGGUUAGCAUGAAUUUUGUUUGUUGUAAAAUGGGAGCUGGAAUGUGACUCUUUCGAGAGUGUUAUAGGCAGUUUCAGAUGCAACGGACAGGAUUGAGGUUUGCGGCAAAUGCCUUUUGGGUACUUGCCUGUUCUCUGAACGGCUUUUAUUUGGAUGACAGCGUGCUGACAUUCAUCUCCGAGUCCUCAACGGGAUAGAGCAAGUUAAAUUUGCCAAGGAUGCUGACGUAAUGGCUUUAAACGAC
rnacentral:rRNA from 1 species